UACGGAGGGGGCUAGCGUUGUUCGGAAUUACUGGGCGUAAAGCGCGCGUAGGCGGACCUGCAAGUCGGGGGUGAAAGCCCGAGGCUCAACCUCGGAACUGCCUUCGAUACUGCGGGUCUCGAGUCCGGGAGAGGUGAGUGGAAUUCCUAGUGUAGUGGUGAAAUGCGUAGAGAUCAGGAAGAACACCCGUGGCGCAAGCGGCCACCUGGCAGAGUUCUGACGCUGAGGCACGAAAGCGUGGGGAGCGAACCGG
rnacentral:rRNA from 1 species